rnacentral:rRNA from 1 species
UACGAAGGGGGCUAGCGUUGCUCGGAAUUACUGGGCGUAAAGGGCGCGUAGGCGGACUGUUUAGUCAGAGGUGAAAGCCCAGGGCUCAACCUUGGAACAGCCUUUGAUACUGGCAGUCUUGAGUACGGGAGAGGUGAGUGGAACUCCGAGUGUAGAGGUGAAAUUCGUAGAUAUUCGGAAGAACACCAGUGGCGAAGGCGACUCACUGGCCCGUUACUGACGCUGAGGCGCGAAAGCGUGGGGAGCAAACAGG